UACGUAGGGUGCGAGCGUUAAUCGGAAUUACUGGGCGUAAAGGGUGCGCAGGCGGCUUCGCAAGUCAGGCGUGAAAUCCCCGGGCUUAACCUGGGAAUGGCGCUUGAAACUACGGAGCUGGAGUAUGGCAGAGGGAGGUGGAAUUCCACGUGUAGCGGUGAAAUGCGUAGAGAUGUGGAGGAACACCGAUGGCGAAGGCAGCCUCCUGGGCUAAUACUGACGCUCAUGCACGAAAGCGUGGGGAGCAAACAGG
rnacentral:rRNA from 1 species